ACUACUGCUCCACUGCCCACAGGCAAGACGUCUCCUUCAGCCUCCUUAGAGGCUCCUCAUCUCAAUCUGCAUGCUGUCUGCAUCCCGCCCCUCAAGUGGCAGGAGGAGUGUCGCCCAGCUUCAGCUGGGAGGAGCCUAUAGAAUGAGAGGCCUGGCUGGUGGACGGGCCUGGUGCCUGGGAGGAGCUCAUGGUGGAUGUGGGCAAGGGACUUGGCACAGUCAAGACCUGUCAGGAAGGUCGUGGAGGAGGUGAGGACGUAGUAGAGGAGCCGGCUGCAAGAGGUGCUGAGUGACAGCAGUGCCCCUUCCCAGCUGGACCAGCUCCCCCUCUCCAUUACGAGGGCCCCCAUGGUACCCUGACACUGCUCAUGGCGCAUCCUGACUCCCAAAGCAGGACAGCUGUGGCAAGGCAACUUAGGAGGGAAGGACCAAGGAAUGAGCUCUGCAGAGGAAGGACUUUGAGAUCAGGCAGCCACUUAAUAACCUGUGGCCCAGGAGGGAGCUAAGGGCUGGAUGGAGAGAUACCAAGAUACUCAGAGUUGAAGAGGCCGCCCCCUCUUCCUGGCCCGCCUCCUGGAGGCCCCUGGAGGACACUGCCUGGUUCCCCGCAGACCCUGAAGCUUUCUCAAGUUGGGGAAGAGCUAGAGGAGGGGACUGCUCCUGGGACUUGGGGCUCAAUAGUCAGGAACCCCCCUCUCAAGUCCCACACCACUCCACUUUGUCAACUCCACU